AGAAUGGUGUAUGAGACAGUGAAAAAUAUGCAGGUUUCAACAUUUCAAUAACAGUAAGGAUUAAUGUUAAAAUGCCAUGGUUUUCAUUGCUUAAAUGUGUUAUCAUGUUUCCAGUGAAAAACAGAGCUGUGGGAAAAGAAAUAUAAAAAUUGAAAAGUUGUUUUGCCUUUUGUAUAGAAAGAGGAAAAUCUCACAGAGAUCUGUGUAAGCACAUACUGCAGCAUGAAUCAAAUUCCAGCACUCCUAAAAAGCAAGUUUUGAGGCAUCCAGACAACAGAGAUGAAAACAUAAUAACAUGAGUUCCUUUGGUACCACACAGAUAUUACUCCCAAGAGCCUACCAAAGAGCUUGGACCGUGAAAUCUAAUGAUUUGAUAAGAAGCUGAUUUCAUAAAGCCCUCUCUUCUGAAGACUGUUGGAUAUCCUUUUUGCACGGAAAAAAUAUCAAUGCAUUAUAUGGAAAGAAUAAAAAGUAUUUAAUGGUACAACAUAAAACAGAUUCCACAGGCUUAAUUAUCAUCUCAAACAGAAUCAUUCAAACACAAAACAUGAGACAAAGAAAGAAUAUUCCUGAGGGCGUGGCACUGGAGGGAAAUCUCUCACAUCUGGGAGAGGACCAGCAAUCUGUUUGGCCAGUGAAGCUCAGUGAGUGUGUGAAUCUGAAAUUCCCCUCCCGUGGAAUUGGCUGGAAUGGAUAAUCCUGGGAGGGCUGGUGGCCCAGCAGGAGUCAGCUCUGUAGUUCACAACUUUUGAGGUUGCUCUACUGGCAGAAUUUGUACUACCUACUGUGUCCCGGGGAAUAAUUUAUUGCCUUGCUCCUCAAAAAAGAAAUUUCAAAAUUGUUUUGAAGUACUCUGGCAAGGCAAAGGGGCUGUAGCCUUAGAGCAAGUGAUAUGUUUUGCCCUGAAAAUGGUGUGAAAUAACCUUCUGGUUAAUUCAUCUUUGCAAUGCAAAGACUAAUUCAAGCUCUUGUUUGAGUAUCACUUACAUUGUGUGAUUAUUGGGUUGAGUCAAACGUAACAACUUUUAGCAUUAAGGCAUACCUGUUAAUAAAAAUAAUAUUGCGUUGUAGGUUGUACUAAUUUAAAGAGGUAAUUUUUUUUUUUCCUUGGAUAAAUGUACUUUUCUUACUGUCAGCACGUACAGCUCUCCAAACAGCAAUUAUCUUUGGCUGAAUGAAUCUAGGAAUUUUCCUAUUACAUUCAAAAUUAGAAUUUCUUGUUUGCCAUUUUAAAAAACAGAGGUACUUAUUCAGUAGAAAAUGUUAGCAUAUAAGUCUAAGUACAUGCUUAAGUCCCUCCUGAGUCAGGAAAGAGGUUAAGCAGAUGUAUAUCCUUAAGUUUUAAAUAACUUCAGUGGGCCUUUGUCUUGUCUUAAAUUUUGAAUGUACUUGAAGUGUACUAAUGGCUUAGCAUAGAAUAUGAAUGCAGGUGGUUCAGUUUGGCCCAGAGCUGGCACAACCCCAAAAUUUAACAUUUCUUCUAAAGUGUUUUGACUAAAAUCCAGCAAAGUACUUAUGUCUACGCACAGUGCUGAUUUAACUAUCUCAGUUUAUAGUUACACUGCUGCAAUUUCCUAGCAUGGACACAGUUCUGCUGGUAUUUGUCUUGGCGUAAUUUAUCCAGACACUUCUGCAGAACUGAAGGGCUCUGAAAGCCAAGAAGGCUGGGGCAAACCUGCAGGAGAGAACACCAAACCUGAGUGAGCUGAGGGGACAUGAGAAGAGAGAAAUUUGCCUGUUGGAAAGGUCAUGUUGAAAACCUUCCACAAAUUAAUGGUGGCACUUCCCAGCACACUUCUGCAGUGUGGCUGCCCACAGUGAGUUCAUCCCACAGAGAGCAGCUCCUUCCAGAAGCUGUGGGUGAAAUUCCUGGAUUACGCCUUGUACACUGUAAGAUCCACGGAGCUGGAUAUGCUCUAAGUGUUGGGUGCAAAGAUGGAAACCUGCUUUAGGUUCUGCAUGGCAUGCACUGAAUUCCCUGUUACAGUCUUCUCAUUCUGCUGAGAAUACAUUUCAUUUUUAUCAUUAUUUUUCUUUUUUGUUAAAACUUACCACAGCCAAAUUACUCAAGAUAAAAGAAAGUACUAUUUUUUUUUCCUUUCCAAAGGAUCUUCAAGGAAGAGUUCGACCACAGAGAAGGGUGAAAAAAAUGAAGAAAUAAUGACCUUAUUAUGUAUUGUUUACAAUGCAGUAUAGUGAUCUACACUGUCACCGUUAUCCAGCUUCCCAAUACUUGGAUUUUCAGUUAUGGAUAUCACAUAUUAAUUGGAAAUAUACCUAAUUACAUAGUUUUACCUUGGGAAAGGACUGUUUCUAUGAUCCUCCUAUGAAACUAGUGAAAUUCUUAUUUAUACCCCACUUAGUGCUUUAGAUAGGCCAUUUCUCUAAAUCCAUUCAUUUUCUUUUUGGUUGUUUCUGUUAUGGGCUGAUUUGCUUUGUCUUUGCACUAAAUGGGAUAUAAAACUAAGUGCUACUGAUACAAUUUCUUUGGGUUUAUUUGUUGCUUUUCCCCACCUUGCUUUGUAUAGAUAUCAGAUGCAUUAAGAGGAGAUGCACAGCAUACUAAAUUCUUAUCUCGCUCGAAGAACACAGUGCUUCCAAAUUAAAUAGUUCACAAUGCAAGAAUGACAGCAUUAAAGUCACAAGAGCAAACCUGUCCCUUUCCUCACAAACACUCCAACUAUCAGAAUGUUGCCAUCUUUCAUUAAAUGCAUCAUCAUCCAUCAGCAUAAGGAAGUAUUGAAUGAAGGAACAUUAGCCCCUAACUGCUUGUUCUCAGAUUGUAUUUGGAACUAUAUAUAAAAAUCAAAAAACAGUCCACUUAAUAAUUUCAGUGAUCGCUAGUACACCUUAAGUUAUUCCUCUAAUUUUAUCUACAAUAUAACAGUGACAAAAUUAAGAAUAGAAGUUUAGCCUCUAGCAAGCCACUUUCAGUUUUCAUGGAUGCCAUUAAGAAUUUAACUGUUUCAUAUGAACCAUACAGACAUUGACUUUAAUAUUAAGCAGAUUUCUCCACUACCAACAAAUGAAGCCCUUUUUGUUUCUUUUCAGCUACAUUGAUGUUACUAAAUCCAGUAGCAUCAGCACAGUCUGACUUGAACUCAGGCUCAGAAACUUUGCAACCUAAACAUCAAAACUAAAAAAAUCCCUGCUAUUCAAGUAGGAUGGGAAAAUAUGGUAUGAUACAGCCCCAUGUCCCACAGAACCUCUCUGUAUAGUACUCCUUCCCUUCAGAUGCACAAAUAAUUGAUGCACUGUACAAAUCAGGCCUGCAAACAUGGUGUGCCUUCCAAACUGUGCUUCAAGCCUCAUUACACUUAAUAGCUCUGUACCAAAAUGCCAAGUACUUCAAAAAAACUCUGGCUAGGUUUACGUACUUAAAAAAACCUCAAAAAAACUACUGAAACACAGGAACAUGGAAAAGUGUAACAUUAGAAAGUUCUAAACUCAAAAUUCACUUCAGGAGCAUAAAGCAGGAUUAAGGAGGAGCUGUGAUGGUGAACUCCUAGAAGAAAGAGUUUAAGAAGUGAAAUUCAUUUCAGCAGUUCUGUCGUGCUGUGAGGAUAAACUGCAGUGCCUUGUCCUCAUCACCUGGGAAAACUUCUGCUGUGCUGUUUGCAACAGGGCUGGCAACAACCCUGCUCAUCCUGCGUGCCCACUCUGGGAGGAGUCGUGUGCAGCAGGGAUUAUGUGAUCCUGCUAAAGCUGUUCUGUUUAAACACAAGAUAAGAGCUUGCAAGCAUGCUGAACUUGAGAGAGAGACAGCAAAGUCAGCAAGGCCCAGGAGCUCUGCAGACCCUGGGGACUGCACUGAAGGUGCCUCCAGAGCAGGAGGCAGUGCUGGGACUGAGGACACAUUUUCUGAAAAUGCUGUCAGGAAACAAAGAGAAGGAAAAGAAGCUAAAACAGGAGUCCUCCUCCUUGAGAUGAGUUGGUAAAGAUGAAGCAGUAUCUGCAUGAAGUUUCCAGUGAAAUUUUGCCGGAGGACAAAGGGCUGUAUGGGCCAAGAAAAACCAGAAGCUCUACAAGUGUAGGAGGACUGUGUUUGUUGGCUGAGUUUGAGAAUAAAUUGCAGUCUAACUAAAGAGCCAACAGAGCUGUUUCUUAAUUUUAUUAUUUUUUUUUAAUCCCAGCACAGCAUGCAAAUAAUUUGUUUUGGACUUGAACUGGCGAAGCCAAGUAUAUAGCAUUGUGAAACUGAAAUCCAAAAAUAAAAUAUUUCAGGCUAGGGGACCUGUAGCUGGUAGGCCCAAACCACUCUUUGCAUUCAGUUUUCUGGCUUGGUCACAAGCUCUCUUGCUUCCUGAUAUAUUUAACUAAAAUAUGCAGGUAUUGCCUCACAUGAACUUCCUUUGGCUUUUUCCAAUGCCUAUAAGCAUGUGCACAAUGUUUUAGAACACCACCAGACUUUAGUACCAGUCACUUCAGACCAAGUUCAGGAUUUACACAAGGAGAAACAACAAGAAAAAUGUAAUAGCCUGUAUGUUGUUUUCUUAUUUGUUUUAGACCAAAGUGUCAUAAAAUAUUGUGUUUUAUAGGUAGGAUUAAUAAAACCAAAGGGGCAUGGCCAAUUAAAAUGUACAUUAUUUUAAGAGAUAAAAGGCAGAUCAAUUAAGAUGAUGCUUCAACACAUAUAUGGUAAUUUAUAUUAGCUGAGAUUCUGUCCCUAAAUAUUAAAACAGCAGUCUUGACACUUUCUUUCCCUCUCACAAUUUUAGACUUUAGACAUACUUUGCAGUUCAACAGCACAGAGUAAGAGAAGUUUUGCUUUAUGCUGCUUCUGGGUGAUAGCACAGCUCUCAUCUGCACCAAAAUAACUGCACAAUGGGUUUUCUAAGAGUGAAGAAUAACAACCUAACUAUAAGCACAAAGGCAAUUUUAGCUAAGUAAAAUACAAUUACACCAGCUAGAAUUUCUUUUGGACAUGAUUAGUAACAAACGUUUCUUGUCCUAUGAAAAUGUGCCAGGAAAUUUUAAUUGACUGCAAGCAUCCAAGGCUGCCAUUAAACACAUCAUCUGAAAGAUUAAUGUUUUUGGCCCACAUUUAACUACCAUGUAACCUGCUUUAUGGUUUACAAGAUGGAAUGACUUUGUUUUACAUGACAGUUAUUGGGCCUAAUUCUGCUCACGGUUAUGCCUGUGAAAAUUUUGGAGCAAGUCCCUUAAAGGCAAUGCCUCUAUAAAAUAAGAGUAAAAUUAGACUCAGGCCCCCUAUGUAAUUUAAUAAAAUUGUUACAAGUUAAGCCAGAUUCUGCUUUUCCAAUUGUUAGCAAGUGACCAAGCACUAGAUAUGACAUUCUUCUAAGAUAAAAGGUGCCUGCAUUAAGACUUGGCCCUUCCAUAGACACCCAGGCUCCCACACCUUGACCUGACUCUUUGUGAUGGGACCACUGCAGGAAUGAGAAUUCUCUGCCACUUUGGAAUGACCCCCAUCACAAAAAUGCAGAAGAAAAGUGAGAAAAUCAGAAAGGGAUUUUUCAUGAUAAUAUUUGCUAGCAAAUCAAUCCAGAAUUACAGAUUCUCUUUUUAACAUCAAAAGUUUGAGUUGUUGUUUUAAAAUCAGUUAUUUUAAUAUAUACUCAGUUUGAAGGCUUUUGAACAAAACUAGAUAUAGAGUUUAUCCACAAACUGUGCUGUAGAAAGUGAAACCAGCACUAGGUCACUGCACAAGCCAUUGUACCUGGCACAGCUCUGGGCCAGAGACAGUGGGACAGGAUAGAAUGCAGAAAAGGAAUAAGGUGCUGUAUCAAGAUAGACACACAGGGAUUUGUUCCCCUGCUUAAGAAAUGUGUUAAAUUAUUAUUACUUUCUUGGGAAAAUCACAUCCUGAACAAACACAAUUAAUUCUUUUCCUCCCCCUUCUGCUUCUGGCAUUCCAUUACCACAUACUGCUCAUUGCUUGAGUUUUAAAUUGUAAACUGUUGCUAACCAGCAGCUUUACAAGGACCGCAUGGAUAUGAAAAGGAGUGCUUCUUUCUCAAGUCCACUGACAACCAGCUGACUCAAAAAAGAAUGUUUCUAUCUAUUACAGCACAUGUACAGGUUGAUAGCUCUCUAAUGAUUCUAUAUAUGUUAGAACUGGUAAAGUGAUAUUCUAUUAUUUCAUUGAAAAUAAAAUGUAUUGAUACAUUUCUUGCUGUUUUCC